GCUGGGCGUGGUGACAUACUCCCGUAAUCCCAGCAAUUUGGGAGGCUGAGGCAGGAGGAUCAUGAAUUGAAAAGCCAGCCUCAGCAACUUAGCAAGGCCCUAAGCAACUCAGUGAGACCCUGUCUCUA
rnacentral:sRNA from 1 species